GCAGUGCUUGUUCAGUGGUAGAAUUCUCGCCUUCCAUGCGGGAGACCUAGGUUCAAAUCCUGGCCAGUGCA
rnacentral:tRNA from 1 species